GUUCAUACCAGCACAGCACCCCGGGACAGAGCGAUUUGUGGGGGCAACUGUCACAGGGUGACUCGGACAUCUUUCACCGUGGCGUCAAAGUGGCAACGAGGGGAGGCACAAUCCUUGGCUUUCCAGGGCAGCUGUAGCUAGGAUAUCGUGUAAAGUCAAAGUGUUCUACAGGUUUCCCACUGGCCUACUAAAGAAUAUCACUUCUCUGAGGAACAGAAUGCUCUG